GUGGGCCCUCUGCCUUGCUCCCAUCCUGUUCUUCUGCUUGUUACCACUGAUGCCAGAAUGGCGCUGGCCUUGAUGGUGAAUCCUACAGACCUCCCUCUUGCUCUAAGAUUCUCAAAGUACCACUUGGAAGAACCAUUCAUUGCUCAGUCACUCAUGAGCUCACAAGGCAUACUAGCAAGACCUCAAGUGCAAGGACGAUGUCAUGGCUAUACAUAGAACAGGAAACUCUAGAAAUUGCAGCUCUAUGUCUUGGCUAGGGCUGAUUGGAGCUGUAGUAAAGAGGCUGGCAAAAGCUGCAAUAUAACCUCAAAAAAUUGGAC